AUAUAUAGUAAUUGCAACUUGCAUUAUACUAAUUAGCUUUAGUCUAUAUACUAGCUUGAGAGGCUUAGAUUGAGACACUGUUGGGAAUUCCCCUGCCAGUUAGUCCUCCUUCGCUAGUAGGAAACAGCAAAGUGUAUGGCAUCUUCACCGGUCCAACUCGGUUCUUCAGUUUCUCAUCAUUGUUCAUACGUGUAAUUCUGUCCUCAAUUUCAGCCAGUUUCCUUCCAAAUUUAUCAAAGGCUUUCAAUGGUUCUGUGUCUGCUGUCCACUCAGGAGUGUCUCUCUGCCCCAAAUACACUUCAUCAGUAGAAUGCCUCGACAGAAUUUCAAUGAGGGCAAUGCCAAGCACUGUCUGCAGCUGAGCAGUAAUUGUUUUCAAGAAAACUGUAUCAGGGCUGGAUUCGAGCUCUUUGUACUCAGGAGUCCCCUUCUCAGGCAUGAAUUUUCGGCUUAUAGUUGGGCGGUUGGGGAGGUAUCCUGCAUAAGGGUACUGUCCAAAGUUGACGGCUGCAUGGAGAGCAGAAGCAGUCCAUAUGAUGAUAGUGCAUGUUUCUACUAGGUCUUCGCGAGUCUGCAUUUUAGGCCACCAGGGCUCAUCUUUUUUGUCACCAUGGCCUUCCUCUACAAGCUCCUUCCACCAGGAUUGGAGUUCAAUGUCUUUUUGAAUUAUGUCAUCAGUCUUGUAGUAGAAAGAGCAAUAGUCUUCAACCCAAGUUUUAAUUGCAAACCAGAUUUCAAUCCCAUCAACAGCAUAUGGAUAGUCAUCGAUCAGUAGGCGAAGACCAUGUGGAGAAUUUGCAUCCUUGACUGCAACUCCUCUGUAUUGAUCAAUGGCAAAGCAAUGUAAUUAGAAUAAGGAAUGGAUAUUUAUUACUUAUCUUGUGCUCAUUUGAGUUACUUGUGCAGAGGCAAUUAACUCACAAAGUGUAGAUUUUUGUUUACCUCUUGAUGAGAUCUGCAGGGAGAGCUUGCUCGGUGAAAACCCAAUCCUUAUAAACCACUGAUGACAUCUCCAUGGCAUACCUAGCAGGAAAAACUGUUGUCUCCAGAAUGCCGCCAGCAUUAAUCAGGAUUUGCCUGGCAAAUGCAUUUAUGUUCAUGGUGUCACGGAAGUGAGGAUGCAGAAGUUUGUAAAUUGGGUGAACCACGCUUAGCUGCCUGUUUGUAGCUAUUACAACUGGCUCACACACUGCGUGGGUGUUCAACCUGUGGCCAAAAGAUAAAAGGAUUAUCAGAAACCCAAUUCAAAGUAUAUGAUGAAUUCAUUUUCUAAGUCUUUUUCUUUGAAAGAUUAGUACCAGUGACUGAUAAGUUGAUGAUAUCCAGAGUCAUUUACAGCCACGUAAGCUUUAGCCAGUUGCCAUAUGGAGCCUUCUACACCCUCUUCAGCUGGUGUAUAUACUUUACUAAUGCGACCAAAUUGAUCUCCAUCAGGAUGAGGCAAGCUUAAUUCAAUCACCAAUGGCUUCAAAGUUCCAUCACUUUUCAAGAAAAGAACUGUUCUGCUAGCAUAGAUCUUGUUGGAAGUUGAGUUUAUCCGCCUCAGGUACGGCAUCAAUGCAUCAUGAUGAUCCAAUAUGAAUAACUUGUUCUGCUUGAGUGCCUAUCCAACCAAAUUCAUUUUCAUCAUUAUGAAAUGAUAUAAACUCAAACAUAAGCUAAUACAAUGUAAAGGAAGCAAAUCCAAGAUAUAACCUCAUGCACUGUUAGUCCAUCCAAGUUGUUCCCUAUAUCCUGUUCUGUUAUUCUACUGGUUUGAUCUCCAUAAACUUUUGGGUCUAGUUUGCUUGCUGGUGGAAAUUCCUGCAGUACAGUUAGAAGCAAAUGUGAUUAAAUAUGAACAAAAUGGACCCUCGAAGGUUUUGUUUGUUUUUCAUCCAUUAUCAUUGGAAAACAUCACACACAAAAUGUUGUGAAGAUUAUUACUUGCAGAAGACUAAUGUUGACAGGGUUCACUCCAGCCAGCAUUUCUCUGGCAAAUUCUUCAUCAGUCCUCCAUGCAGACUUAUCCUCUGCUCCAAAUCAUGAAAACAUCAGAAUUAGAUAAAAGGAAAUAGUACAUGAUAUCAUAGGCUAUUGCUUAAAGCUUCUAAAUUCAGAAUUUCUCAUUGGUGGAACCAUAUACCUUCGAUCACUUGAGGCAUGGGGAAUCUGAGCAAUUGUGCACCGUCAGUUCGGAAAAUUUCCUUGAGCAUCUCUGCAGGGAUAUUGUCUCCGAUAUCCUUCAAUAAACCUUCAGGCAAUGGAAUGCCUCCUUCAUAGAGUUUAAGCACAUCUUCCAAGCUGUCAAACUCAUUAGGAGUCUUAUCAAACAGGGCUUCUAGCUCUGGCCUAAUGAAUUGAACUAUGGAUUUCAGUGCAUAAGCCAGAAAGUCUGACAACUUCAAGUGUCCAAAUCGUUCAUCUCUUGGCACAUAAAUGUUUAAGCUCAUAAGAAGUGGAAUCCUACUCUCGCUGUUAGAAUCUGUUAGAAUAAGAUCAGAAAAAUCUUAGUGAUAAUUACAACAUCAGUUAAUUAAAAUCCAAAUUAGUAUAUCAACUUCUACAGUAAAACAAUACAAAAUAUGAUCCCUCUUGUGACUGCUAAUUAAUGAUUUGAGGAACAAAAAAUGACACAAAGAUAUUUAAAUGGCUAACCUGUCUUCGUUGGUGGUCUGCCGGUUCUUCCCCUGCGAGGGUAAGGGUACUCGCUAGACCCCCCCAGAGUUGGUCGGGCGUAUUUGGGACCCUUAUCAGGGUUCCCUAGAUCAUUGUAGUAAGCAUAGUCAUAGACCCUGUCCCAUUCCUGGAGCUCUCCCUUUCCAUCUCCUCUCAAGUGUACAAGUUCUUCUUCUCUGUAUUUUCGCAGUGGCAACGGUGUUUCACUUGGGAGAAAUGUCUGCACAAACAUAUACAAGGCUUGAAUGUUAGUCUUUAACUUAAGAUACAAGCCACAAAUAUAUCCUCAUAAUAUACUAGGCUUGCACUUAGAAUUUAAAACUUCCAUCAGCUACAACAGAAACUACAGCAGAUUGUAAUGGAUUGUGUGAAUCAUUCGUUACCUUGUUAACGAAGAAAACACGGUCCUUCGUGUAUUUUUCUGCAGGGUACACCCAUGAGUUGCAAACAAAGUGGACCCGGCCCUCACGAGGAACAUCUUCAAGGGUAAUAGUCUUAAGGAAGAACUCACUGUGAUGAUUGUUUUUUAUCAAGAUGGCUCCUGGAACUCCUAUUUCCUCUUCCCAGUCAAAGGUAACCUUGUAUGCAGAAUCUCCAACUGUUAAUGGAGUGAUUGUGGUGAUCCAGUCUUCCAGAUAUGCUGGCUCUCCAAGUUUCCCCUUAAACCCGUUUUCUACAAAAACACAUUUCUCCAAGUUCAGAAUAUAAUGCCAUAUCUAGUACCCCAUUUACUAAUCAAUUAAUAUUUCCAAUGGAAUAAAGUUCAUCCGAAAUUUUGUUCUAAACACCUCAAAUCAGGUCUUAGUUGGAGCCAUUUUAUGCAAGUUGUUGUAAUUUUCAAUGCGUGUUCAAAAUUUUAUUAGGAACAGAACCUGCGGCUGUUUCUUCAGAAUAUUCGAAGGAAAACAAAAAAUAAUUGGAUCUGAGUAAAAAACCAUAAUCAGAAAAAGGCUUAAAGCUAUGCCAAAAGCCAACAGCCAACUGCAUGGAGCUUCAUUUUCAUGUUAACUGGUAGCUAGACUGGUAGUUGGCGUUCACAGGUAAGAAAAAGAUUAGCUUUCCUGUCUAUUCACUUCCUGACAUGACCACUAUGAAAAAAAUAACAAAUGGAAUGGCUGAUGAUGGCCAUGAUUUAAAAAUCAUUUUCAUAUCUUUCAAAACUAAACUGGUUUUUUAAUCAAAUUUUUUGUUACCAUAAACGAGGAUGACAUUAGAGACCCCCCAAAUAAUAUAGAUUUCUCAUGUAGCACACCAAAUAGUACAAUAAAUAUUGAUGCUGUUAGAUUGACUAUAAAGCCCUUGCCAUUAAAAUAGUAAUGUCUCUACUGUACUUUUAGCCACCAAAUCACUUGCAUACAGACAGGGCAAAAACAAUGUUGGGGCACCUUCAAUCACAAUGAGAGUGUUGGAAGGGGUAAGCUUAAGACCACUACAUUCCAAAUGCCUCAUGACUGGACCCAAAAAAUGGAUUAAUUGACCCGGGUGCCCUUUGAAUUGUCAAAAAGCUGUUUCCAUUGCCUGCCUAUAUCAGAAUUGCAUUCAAAAUCUGAUUUAUUGGACCUAAAUGCCAGAUAUAGCCAGGUUUUGAUGAAGACCAAAGAGAUUAAUGACAUAAUCUGUAACCCAACUAAUCCACCGAGGAAAAAGAUUGAGUUAUUGGUUCAUCUUCUUAAUCUUGUCAUAAUUGCUUCAAAGAAAAAGAAUUACAAGGAAAUGAAACAAGAGCAAAACUCAAAUUGGUUUCAUGUCAUGCAUAUUCAAUCAAUGAAGCCAUAAAAACUAUACAUUUUUAAUGAAAAUUAAAGAAAGAGAAAAAAAAACUCACCAGAGUCUCCAUGAUCAGCACUGAUGAGCUGCAGAGAAACCCCUUGGCCUAGCAGUUCAUGCACACGAUCAAGAACAGAAGCAUUGAAGUCAUUGAAAUCCAACACAUUCUUCUUCAUCAAAACCACAGUCCCUUUGAUCUUCCUACUGUUUUUCCCAUUCUGCUCCUGGCCUGUGAUUUUGUCAAAGAGGUUGUGCAACAUUUUGUUCGGCUUUCCAAGAAGUAAGCAAAGAAUCUCUUGAUCUUUUUUUCGAGAAAAAAGUAGCUGUUGUUGGUGAAAUGAGUUGAAAGUUUGUAUGGAUGAGUGCGACAGGGAAUUGUGGUGGUAUUUAUAGGGAGAAAGUGAGCAAUAUUGCAACUCCUUUCUGAGAAGCUUCAGAAUAAUAGUCAGUUCAUGUGUUCAAUUUCAUUUCAUAUAUGGGCACGUUUAAUUGUCUUACUAUUUCUUUAAAAGAAAUAUACGAUUGGUUACAAGUCAGCAGUCUCUUCUCUGGACAAAGUCUUCCACGACUUUUAUCUAAGGAAAUUAUUUGUAGGGCUGUAUAUUUCUUGGGAUGGCUUGGUGACGGUGACCAAGGGGAGCAAAAUGCAAAUUAACCCAUACUCAUCCCUUUAAGAUUAACCCUUUGUUUAUAGAAAUUCUAUAUGCAUCACGUCUGUUCUUUGUUAAAAUACGGAUUGCGUAUUAAGAUAUAUAAUCGACGGUGUAGCUAUAGUAUGUUGAUACGUUUUAUUAUUCACAUAUUCUCGAUAGAUAUAUGAAUAUUUUAAUAAAGAAGGUACGUCAUGUUCGUACGAAGAACUGUCCCUAUAAAAUACAUUGAUGAAAUAAUUAGAGGAUUAAAAAUUAAAAGAUAUUGUACGCAUGAAUAGACUAUACGCCAAUUUAAUGCGAGAGGUACAAUUAAUUUUUUUUUCAUUGCAUCCUUGACAAUUCCUGGGCUGGGAAAUGAUUUGCUUAUAGUGUGCCUUUUUUUUCUUUUUCUUUUUUGUUUUUAACCGGAAAAGACAAUGCGGCCAAUUUGGAACCGCAGUUUUGGGUUUGGCUUUAUCUCAGAAGCAAGGAAAAUUCUGUGGUGCAAAGCCAAAAGGGCCAUCGGUUCGGACCUGAUUUAAGCUGCCACGUUGGACUUGUUCUUUGUAAUAAUAUUCUUCUCCCAGCAGCAAGUUGGCUUUUAAAUAUUAUUAUGAAUAGAUAUAUUCCCUCGCUUUUCACAUGGGGUCUUUUUCCAUUUGGGAAUAAUUUGUUUAUUCUCAUGUUCAAGAUGAAAUUCCAAAAGAUUUUGUUUGUGGGUGUAGUGGGAUUAGUUUAAUCACAACACAAAACAGACAUGAAAACAUCCCUUGCACGUGAUCUGUGUAUAGCUCAAUUACAUUAAUUAUUAGUCUAUCUUAAUCUAUCUUAAUCCCAGUUAUCAAACUUUCCUUAUUGUGUAAAGCAUGCAAGAUUGAACUUUGACGAAAAUGGUUUAGGGGUCCUUCAAUCUGAGGGAUUGAACUUAAUUAAGAAAAAAAACCACUUCACAUGCAAGAAAAAUUCUCUACAGAAACCAAAGUCACAGAGAAAGAACAGCUAGCAGUUUGGUGCUGCACCCAAAAUUAGAAGACGUGUGCAUUAACAUUUCUCGUGAACAAAUUGAACCACUUCAUACCUAACUAUAGUACCAUCCAUUAAUUGAGCAUACAAUGAAUUAGAUUUUAAAUUUACAGUUGCACCAUCAUAAUCAAGUAGCUUGUCCCACAAUGUUUUGAAGAACCUAAAGUUGGAUAACCCCGAUCAGAUUGUUAGGUGGAUAAAUAUUAAUACUAAUUAUUAUUACGAUCGAGAAUGUGAGAUAACUUAGAUUAGAGUUGUAAUUAACCAACAAAAUUUAAUCAAAUUCUACAAUUGUGACCAAGUCUAUAGUCCAUGCUAGUCACCAAUUUGGUUUAGAUCUGAACAAACCCUUGGAUAAGUACUAUACUGGUCUACAGAGAUAUUAGGGGUCUUCAAUUUGAAAUGGGCUACGUUUAAUUUUUAAUUUUUAAUUUCCCAAUUUGUACAAGGAUAAUUUUUUAUUUUUUUUACACAACGGCCAUAGUGUUUUAUUAAUGAGGAAAAUGAGUAACAAGUAUAUAAAAAAAAAAACCAGAAUAUGUUCUAGAGGAUUAGGCGAGUACUCUACACCAAACGAAGCGUAGUGGUCAUCGGUCUACCGAAGUAUCCUACCUUCUCAACUACAAACGAAAAAAGGAACCUUGUCUCCAGGGCCGAUCCUGAGAUUUUGAGAGCACUGUGCAAAACUUAAAUAGGAGCCCUCACAUCAUUUAAUAUGAAAAUAUUUAUGAUAAAAAAAAAAAUUGCCAUGACUUAAUACCAUAAGAUAAUUUUUUUAAUAACUAAAAUUCAUCAUGGAUUAGCAUGCAAUGGCACUCAUAAAUCAAAUUCAAACAAAAUUUAAUGUUUCAAUUUGAGAAAAAAGAAGAGAAAGAAGAAGACAAUAACUUUUUUUGUUUUGUUUUGAGUGGGUUAAAACAUACAUUACAAAUUUUUUUUAGUUGAUUGGAGAAAGCUUGUAUAUAUUGCCUUCAUCUUCUUUGGCAUGUUUCCUUAUUUUUUUUUUAUUAACAUGUUUUUCGAUUUUUUUUUUUUGUUGUUGUUGUUAACAAAAAGAGAAGAAAUGUAAAUACAACUAUUUUGAAUGACACAAUACUAAUUCAAACCAGACUUGCUUAUUAAAAUAAAGGCGUUGAUUUCCAACUCAACCAAAUAGUAGCUUGUGUUAUUGUCAUGCACGCUCAAGUAUAUAUAUAAUACUUAUAAUAUAAAUAUAUAUAAAAUAUACACAUAAAAUUUUUUUGAAGUCGUGUGCAAUGGCACUACUUGCACACCCUCAACGCCAUCUCUGCUUGUCUCCAAUAGAGUCCCCUUAUCUAAUAGAGUCACAAGGACAAUUUGGAUCAAUAUAAUAGAGGCAGCUAAAACAUGGAUGGGUCUAAAAUAUACCUAAAAGUGAACUCUAAAGAAAAUAAAAUAUGUUUUUAGUCCAAGUAAUGGGUAACGUCAUUAAACAUUCUUCAAUUCCAUUUUAUAUUUAAGAACGUGGAAUAUAUAUAUAUAUAUAUAUAUAUAUAUAUAUAUAGUAACGAAGAAGCGUGUCUUUCAUGUCACUGAAUGUGACAUCCAGCAAUCAAACGGUCAAUGAGAGAAGUUAGAUUGAUAGAUAAGAUAGUCAUGUGACCAAUGGUAUUAAAUUGAAUUGAAUUGAUUUGGUAUUCUUGCCCUAAAAGAAAUUGAAUUGAAUUGAAUUGGUAUUAGGCUAUUAGCAUACGCAUGGACCCCUAAAAGGUCUAGACAUGGGUAAAAGGAAAAAUAAUAAACAAAUCUCAUACUUUUCCUUCGCAUGGAUCGUUGACUUUAAUAAAUUUAUUUGCUUUAUUCAAUAACUAUUUUGUACAACUUUACGUAUACUGUAUAUAACAACGUAAAUCACAUCGACGUACGUAUGAUUUGCAUGUCGAAAACGUUGUUGAAACAUGAUAACCUUCUUUGACUCCCAAAAGCCUUGAAAAAAGAAAAAUAUGAUGACUUCUUGGACAUGUCAUAAGGCUAGUGGUGGUGGAGGUGGGAUUCUUUUAUUUCUUAUAUUCCGUUAUAUGAUUCUUUCAGCCUUUGCUUUUAUUUCAAAAUAUAGAAGAAAGAAAAAAAAUCCUUGUUCCUUAAUGGCCAACAUAGGCCAGUGGUGGGCUCAAAAGCCCAAACUGAACCCACUUUCAAGGCACGUGAAAUGUGAAAGAACUCAUAUCUCAAAUAAAAAACACCUCUUUAAAAUGAAACUGAGCGAUUGAAAUGAAAGUACAGUUGAAUUCUUAAAAGUCAAUAGUGUCCUUACUUUUUUUUUAAUAAUUCUUGCAUAUUUAAGGUAUACCAUGUGACUAGUGUACCAUCCAAUAUACAUGUAACAUAUGAAAAUAUUAUCCAAUAUUGUCUUGUGUGUAUUGAAUGGUAAUGAUGUGGUGUACCUAUACAAAUUUUUUUUUUUUUUUUUCCCCUUACUUUGAGAAGUUGGUUUUGGGCUAAUGCAUAAAACUUUGAUAUUUGGUGACCAGAGAACAGUGGGCUGCUGGACUAGGAUAUUUCAGUUAUGAGGGUUGGGCUUGGGAAUUUGAUAUUGGGUUGCUAGACUUGGACAUUUCGAAAAUAUUAAAAAAAGAAACACCCGAUCUUGUCCGGUUCAGUCUUUAAAUCUAAGCUGAUUUUUUUAGUCAACAUGAUUUUUAUUUACUCAGUUCGUUGAUUCUGUGGUUUUUAUGCCAACCCCUAUUUCAAAGUGUCUCACCCGAUUUUUACUUAUUUUUGGUUUAAGCAUUAUAAAUUAAACCAGAUUAACAAACAAGAGAAUAGUUACCCUUUUAUUAUUAAUUAAUCUAUGUCCAUUUACCAUUUUAUUUCAAUAGCUAGAGAAAUUAAAGAAAGAAGGCGUAGAAAAGUUGAAGAAAAAAGGGUGCAGCAAGAAGAAGAUGAAAAUUUUGCUGUGGCAGUGGGUUUGCUUGAUUUAGAAAGCCAAGGUUGUCAACGUGGUUCAUAAGUUGGCCGUGGCCUAAACGUGGAUAGACAUAGGCAUUCUCGGGGUAAGAAUCUUUUGGAAGAUUACUUUAUCCCAAAUUUUGUGUACUUUAAUGUUGAUUUUCAAGGGCGAUAUAGAAUGCAACCUCAUUUGUUCAAUAAAGUCAUGCAUGAUGUUUGCAAUUACGAUGCAUACUUCGUUCAGAAAUGUGAUUUUGCAGGGGUUUUAGUGAUUCUUCCAGAGCAAAAGCUUACAGUUGUUAUACGAAUGCUGGCGUAUGGUUCAUAUGCUGAUAAUGUGGAUGAGAUUGCUAGGAUGGGGAAGUCCACUACUCUAGAGACCAUGGUCAGAUUCUAUGACGCAAUCGAAACUCUCUACACUAGGGACUAGCUCUGCAAACCUACGCCUAGGGACCCCCAAAGGCUUCUACAGAAAGUCGAAGCUUGAGGUUUUCUAGGUAUGAUUGGAAGUAUCGAUUAUAUGCACUGGCAAUGGAAGAAUUGCCCAACGUCCGGGCAAAGAGAUUAUGAAAAUAGGAAAGGACAAAAAAGUAUCAUUCUCGAAGCCGUUGCUAGAUUCGAUACAUGGGUUUGACAUGCCUUCUUUGGAGUUGUCGAAUCUCAAAACGACUUGAAAGUGUUGGGUCAAUCCCUAGUUUUCAACGAUGUCUCGAGAGGUGAAGCCCUAAAUAUCACUUAUGAAAUCAAUAAUACUGUCUACUGGAAUGGUUAUUAUCUAGCAGACGGCAUCUACCCGAGGUGAACCACAUUUGUCAAAUCAAUUCUGAAUCCCCAAUCCGAGAAGCAAAAAUUAUUUUCUGUCUAUCAAGAUGGUUACAGGAAAGAUGUCGAAAGGUGUUUUGGUAUCCUCCAAGCAAGGUGGGCGAUUAUUAGGGGUGUUGUGUGUAUGUUUGAUAAGGAAGUGCUGAGGAGGAUUAUGAUGACUUGCAUCAUCCUCCAUAACAUGAUUGUGGAGGAUGAGUAUGAUUGUGAUGCUCAAGAUGUGUUCGAACCGGAUCCCAUGAACACGGCCUUAACAAGAAUUUAUAAAAGGCUCAUGGGACCAAAUGGACAACCACUAGAGCAUGAUCUGUUGGUUAGGGACGAUCGUUUCAUGAACUGUAUGAUUGAUCGAUAUACGGAGAUGCAAUCAUUUUAUAUUCAUGAACGACAAGUUGACUUGAUGGAUCAUUUAUGGACGGUGAGAGGCAAUGACGGUGAAUGAAGUGAAGUGAAGAUGCAUUGUUUUUAAUUUUACUUUGUGUUGAUAUUUUAUUUUUAAUUAUGCUUUGGUUGUAGUUGUUUUUAAAGACAUUAAAAACAUUAAAGACAUUAAAGUAUUUCAUGUCAAAAAGUGGUUGGCUUGUGCACUAGAAAGCUUAACACUUACAGAGCAGCCAUUAAAGUAUUUCAUGUUGGGUUUUGGCCAAUGCCGUCGACAAUUUAUGGCAAAAGGUGGUUGGCUUGUGCUUCUAAUUAUGUUAGCAGGAGGUAUAGGAAUGCUUACUAUAACUUUUGGCGGACCUCAAGAAGAGGUAUUUUUAUGCCCAUUAUUUAUUUAAUUGAAUUGCAUUUUUAUGCCCACUUUUGGACUUUCCUUUAUUGAUUUUAUACAUUGAUCAUACUGCAGCAUAUUCAGGAGCUUGUUCGUCGUCUCCAAUUCGGACUCUGGUGGCUGGCUCUUGGUAAGCAAUAGCAUGAAAUUUUGACAUUCUGGUGGAUAGAGUUGACCUGUUUUCGACAACACUCGGAUUGAUUUUAUUAUAUUGUUCUUCUAUGCAGGAUCUGGUUUGCACACAUUUGUGCUAUAUUUAGGGCCUCAUAUAGCUCUGUUUACUAUGAAGGCAGUGCAGUGUGGCAGAGUUGACAUAAAAAGUGCCCCGUAUGACACCGUUCAAUUGAAAAUAGUCCUUCAUGGCUGGACAGAGACUGCUCUGAAUUCAGGGACCCCAUAUUUUUAUCGCAGCACAGUUCAAGGGUUCCACUUAGCAGCAUAUUGCCUCAGGUUCAGUUAGAGGCUAUCCUAUGGGGAAUCGGAAUCAGCGGCGGACCUAUUAAGGCGCUGCACAUCUUCUUAUCGGAAAAAUUAUUAUAGGUACUUCAAACUGCUCAUUUGCUCAACUGGUGUAUAGAUUACCUUAUUUAUUUUUAUAUUACUUCAUUUAUUUAAGUUUACAAUGUAAAUAAGGAAGUACCUGUUAUAAAAAAUAAUAGUUUUCCUCUUUCUGUAAAGCCAAAUACAAAACAUUUAUAUUAUAAAUAACAUAUAAACAAAUUAGAAAGCUUUGAAGGUAUAAUGAAAUUGAAGAAAACAAAAUAAUAGGUAAGUAAAAGGAAAAUGAAUAAUAAGUAAGAAGGUGAGUUUGGUACGGUGAAGCACGUCAAAAACGCUGUCCUAAAGCUUUUGUAGCCUCCCUACGUGCAAGUACUGACGGUCUACAAGACUCCAAGAUAAGACCCCUUAUACACAAACUCAAGAUCCGCUAUGAGCACGUUCAUAGACAGAUAUAGGUAUCCAAGUCACAUAACCAUUGCCCAAAAUAAUAAUAAUAAUAAAGUAGAGAAUAUAUGUAAAAGUAAAAAAGGAGAGAAUCAGAAUGUGGUAUAAAACAUGUAACAUUCACCAACCAUAAAAGUUCACCAACCAAAAAAUUAAGCCAUUCACCAACCAGAAAUAAAACCUAAAUAUUAAAUAUUUAUAACCCCCACAAUAAAUAAAAUAAACCAACCAAAAUAAUUAAAUAAAUAAAACGGUUAAAUUUUUAAAACCUUUUAAAAUUCCAAGAGUACCCCCCAUUUGGAUUCAAAUAAAAAUAAUAGAAAAUCAAAUUCCCACCAUAUCAAAAUAUGAAAAAUUGAUUUUAGUGCAAAAUACGAUUUAGGCUAAAAAUGAUGGCUCAUUAAGUCAAUAUAUUCUUCAUACUAAAAUCCCAUAAAAUCAAGUUUUCUUAUUUGAUGUGUAAGGAAUAAUAGCCGCCAAAAAUUAUCUUGAGAAAAUGAUUAUUCUGAAAAAUCAUUUUUCAUACUUAGUCAAUAUUGCACCUCUGCUAAAAAAAUUCUGAGUCCACCAAUGAUCGAAACUGCACUGGGAGAGCUUCCUCCUUAUUUCAUAUCAAGAGCUGGUAACUAAAAAACAACAAACUAUCUUCUUGUACUCACUGUCUCGAUACUCUGCAAUCGUCGUAGUAAACAAUUUCUAGGCAGGAACAGCCUGUUAGAAAAACUUCUAACUUAUCCAUGCACUUAUUUCAUGUCCCUUUAUAAGUCGGGAGUAUAUCUGGAUUCUUUAACCUGACUACAUAGUGUAAGGGUGAGUGAGUUGCAUAUGUUGAACCACUAAUUUCUCCCUGAACGAAUUUCUGAAUCUCUCCUAAUCUAUGAUUAUGUGCAGCUCAACCUACAAAUAAAUAGACUCCAAAAUAGUAUAUUAGUCUUGUACUUGGCCUAAUUCUUUACCCCAACCUGAACAACAAUCACAAAACCGUCAAUAAAAUGAAUAGGAACAAAAAAAGAACAAAACCACAACAUAAUUAACUUGAAUAUCAGAAAGCAAUAUGCUAAUUUGCGGUAGAGAUUUGUUCUUUUCUUUUUUCUUUUUUAACCUUUUGAAUUGUAUAACGAUCAUCAAUUUUAUAGGCUUUGAAUAUCAAACAAAAAGUGCAAAGAAAGCAGCCAAAAGUUGGGACCAGCUUCAACCAUUAUCUCCAAGGCCAUGUACAAUUGCCACUCAGGCAGUCUAUUUUCACAAAUUGAAAAUGCAAUUACGUGGUUCUUGUUUAUCAAUUGCCAACUUGACGUGGCUGAAGAAUAACAACAAUAAAAAUAGAAAGAAAAGAAAACUGAACUGCAAUUCACUACAGAAAACAAACCAAAAAUAAAUAAUAAACAAGGACUUUCCCUCGUCACUCUCAUCUUCAAUUCAGCCCCAUGCCUUACGUCACCAAGCUCAUACUUCUUUAUUUUACUACAACAUAGCCACGUUAUGUUGCCAAUUGACAAACAUGCACUAUGUAAUUGUUAAUCUUUUUUUUUUCUUUUUUUGAAAAGAAACAAAUAUAUUAAAGCAAUUAAAUUUAGUGCUUUUAACCAUUAUAAUCACACAAAAUCUAAUGAAAAUAUUAUUUUUUAAAAAUAUAUAAAUAUUAACAUAUCAAUUAACUUUAACUUUCAUUGCAAGUGUUAAUAUCUUAGUCAUAAGUAAAUAACAAACAUUGAUGAACAUGCUGUAAUUGAAAUGCAAUUGAAUUUACAAAAAUUCAAUUGGCAGACAGAAAGCAGGUAAUUGAAUAUGUGAAAUUUAAUUGCAUCAAUGGAGUGGAAUGCACUAAACAAGUUGAGAAAACUAAACAUACUCCAUGUUUUACUUUAUUAACCAAUAUUGUCCAUUUUGUUAAAUUACCAUUAAAAAAUUCAUUUAAAUAUUUUAAGUUCUAUUUAUAAAGAAAACAAAUAUGAAUUAAAAGAAUAAAAUUUAAUUAAAAAAAUUCUGGAAACCCGACAGCCUCUAUGUCUUUCUCAUGCAACCACCACCACCCAACCCACACCACAACCACCAUGAGUAGUCCCAGCCACCACCUUAUUCUCUCUCUCUCUCUCUCUCUCUCUCUCUCUCUCUUUCAAUUGUCGAAUCCCAACAUGGCAACCAAGUUCUUCAGUUUCUUUUUGCUGAUUAUUUUGCUCUGCUCCACAUUCAUUGCAAUAAAGUGCCCGACCCUUCAAUAUCAUGAGUACAACAAUUGGAGGUUUCCUUGAUGGGAAUCGGGCCCUAGCCUAGGUGAGGGGCACUUACGAACCAACAAACCCUUGGAGGGAUAAAGAAAUCUGGCCCGAGCCCUCCCUUCUCUCCCCGAUCCAUCCCACCCCACCCCACAACUCCUCCAUCUCUCUUUCCUCUCUCUUUCUCUCUCCCUUUUUCCAUCCAACCCACGCCCACAAAAAUAUGAGUGAAAUAAAGAUUCAACAUCAGUAUUGGCAGGCAACUGAUGGUUGUGGUGUUGGGUUGGGUAGCGGCAGCAGCAUGAGAGGAGGACACAUAGUCUGUUGGGUUUCCAAAAUUUCUUUUUUAAUUUUUUAAUUUUUUAAUUUUUAUCAACAUUAUAAACUGAACUUAACAAAUUUUUUAAUUAAUUUUUAAACUUUAAUGAAUUUUUUAACAAUAAUUUAAUACAAUUGACAACAUUGACUAAUGGAGUCAAACACAGGAACUAAAUUGAUCAAAUUAAAUACAAGAUAUUAAAUUUGCCAAAUGUACAAAUUACAUGGACUAUUUUAAUAUUUAAGCCUUAAUUUUAUAGAAGCAGUUAGACUUAAUAAAUUUUAUAUUGUUUUUGCUUUUCCUCGGUGAUGAUUUUCAUUUAAUUUUUGAACAGAUGAGACAGAGGCAACUGAUUCUAUGCACUUGCAGGCAUGCUGAGAUUGAGGCGCUUAUACAUAUUGUCAUGGAUGAUUUCAAAGAUGCUUUUGCUGCCCCCUCUCAAAUAUGCUUAUUAAAAGUAAGGCUUAAAAUUCUGAUUUUCGUAGUUUCCAGUAUCUUGGAUGAAAUGUUGAUAUUGCAUAUGCCUAGGCUGUUGCUGCAGAAUUUUCUGACCGAAGGCUUGCAAUGAAGCUAACGAACCAAUGAAUACAGAGCUAUUUAUAUAAAGAUAUUGUAGCUGUAAUAUUGUAGGUCCAGCAGAUGAAGAUGAAGAUGAAGAUGAAGAUGCUCAACUUAACAAUCCAAUAUUACUGCAACUGCAAUAUUGUAGGUCAUGUUUCUAGCUUAUUACACAUAAGGAAUGCAUUAUACUAAUUAAUUAUAUAUAGUAAUUGCAACUUGCAUUAUAUUAAUUAACUUUAGUCUAUAUGCUAGCUUGAGAGGCUUAGAUUGAGACACUGUUGGGAAUUCCCCUGCCAGUAAGUCCUCCUCCGCUAGUAGGAAACAGCAAAGUGUAUGGCAUCUUCACCGGUCCAACUCGGUUCUUCAGUUUCUCAUCAUUGUUCAUACUUUCAAUUCUGUCCUCAAUUUCAGCCAGUUUCCUUCCAAAUUUAUCAAAGACUUUCAAUGGUUCUGUGUCUGCUGUCCACUCAGGAGUGUCUCUCUGCCCCAAAUACACUUCAUCAGUAGAAUGCCUUGACAGAAUUUCAAUGAGGGCAAUGCCAAGCACUGUCUGCAGCUGAGCAGUAAUUGUUUUCAAGAAAACUGUAUCGGGGCUGGAUUCGAGCUCUUUGUACUCAGGAGUUCCCUUCUCAGGCAUGAAUUUUCGGCUUAAAGUUGGGCGGUUGGGGAGGUAUCCUGCAUAAGGGUACUGUCCAAAGUUGACUGCUGCAUGGAGAGCAGAAGCAGUCCAUAUGAUGAUAGUGCAUGUUUCGACUAGGUCUUCACGAGUCUGCAUUUUAGGCCACCAGGGCUCAUCUUUUUUGUCACCAUGGCCUUCCUCUACAAGCUCCUUCCACCAGGAUUGGAGUUCAGUGUCUUUUUGAAUUAUGUCAUCAGUCUUGUAGUAGAAAGAGCAAUAGUCUUCAACCCAAGUUUUAAUUGCAAACCAGAUUUCAAUCCCAUCAACAGCAUAUGGAUAGUCCUCGAUCAGUAGGCGAAGACCAUGUGGAGAAUUUGCAUCCUUGACUGCAACUCCUCUGUAUUGAUCAAAGGCAAUGCAAUGUAAUUAGAAUAAGAAAUGGAUAUUUAUUACUUAUCUUGUGCUCAUUUGAGUUACUUGUGCAGAGGCUAUUAACUCACAAAGUGUAGAUUUUUGUUUACCUCUUGAUGAGAUCUGCAGGGAGAGCUUG
rnacentral:lncRNA from 1 species